CACAGGUGUGGUAAAGGCAGACUUGGCUAUGGCAUCCAGAUCCAGUGCCAUUUGCCAGAAUCCUUUGGACAGUUCAAGAGUAGAGAUGAUCUUGGCUGGGAGCAGGUGAUCCAGGCA